rnacentral:lncRNA from 1 species
CUGCUGUUUUAACAAUUUACUCGGAUUACAGUGUUAGCCAGAGUAUCCCUGUUAUUAGUUAAAGAAAAUUAGAUUAUUACAUAACAAUAUCUUGUACUAGUGUUUGCAAGUAGCUAAAAUUCAUGCCCAUAAAACAUAUAAGACUGUCUUUUGAAUUUACAUGUAAAAUUUGUCACUUGAAGUUAAGCAGACAUCAAUCAAUCAGUGCUUCGUAUAAAGCUUUUGAGACUGACAUUUUGAAUUGUGUAGAUUUUAAAUAUUUGUUUUUUUUUUAAAUAUAAAUCUCUGGAAACUUAAGUCUUGUUGGUGUUAUGAAUUAUUUGUUUGGUAACACAAGAUGAUUCAACUUUGCAUUAAACUUAUUUCAUAGGCAAGGAUUUACAAUGAUAUUUUAUUUAUUCAUUGUGGAAUUCAAAAUUUCUGUGAAAAUAAUGUGUCCAUUCUCACAUUAUGAUUUAACUAAAUCCUGAAUUCAUGACGAUUUAACUGGUGAAUUCCUGACUACUUUCAAAUUGAACAGCUAAGCCUUGAAUACCCUGAAAAAUACUUCCACAUUUACAUUUUCUGGUCACACUAUCACUUAUGAUAAAUAAGCGUUCUUUUACUUAAGUGGUCCCAUACCAUAUGAGCCUUAUUAAAGUAACCCUAACUUGUGCCUAACACAAUUUCUCAAACAUCCCUCUUAACGUAAAACAAAUCCUCAAAAUCUUCAGUCCUCACUUUAAGCCUAAACUGAACCCUAAGGGAGUAUCCAGGAUUCUUGAGAAAAGAGAGGCUCCCUUGGCAAGACUCAAUGUUUGCAUUGUAUUUGAAGCUCCAUAAGGGAGGGGGGUCAGAUCCCCCAACCCUUAAUCUGCCUCUGCAACCCUUACAUUUAUGGAAAAUUAAGAAACCAUUAUAAUCAUGAAUAUUGAAAGAACAUAUUGCAAAUAUUUCAGGUGUGUAGACUUUUGAUGAACUUAUGAUUUGCAUUGCUCCAUUACAAUCUCCCAUACAGACAGAGUUAUCGUCCUUUCCUCGAGGAAAGGACGAUAACUCUGUCUGUAUGGGAGAUUGGCUCCAUUAGUGAAGCUUACCUCCCUUGUUUUUAUAUACUUUGUUUUUAAAUUUUACACUGCACAAUUAAAAUACAGUUCAAAUUCUUUUAACAUAUUUCAUAGUUUGCAUUGUAAUUUUAGAAAAUGCCCUCAUAAUAUUGAAAAUUUCCACAGAAUGUUACAUGAAUAGCCUUAUAUAUAUAAUUCCAAUAUGAAUUAGAAAAAAGUUUAACAAUAUUUUUAAGCAGUACAAAAACUAAUUUAAAAAUUGAAUGCUAAUAAUGACUAUACAUGACACUGAUCUAAAAUCUAGACUAAUGACUAGUCUCAUAUUUCCAUUGUUGAAUGCAACUUUAUGAAUUGUGAAUUAAAUCCAUUCAUUUUUGACAUCAUGAUUAUUUCUGUGGAGUCUACAUAAUGGACAAAUCCUUGAUCGAAAUUCAAGUUUAUACGAUUUGAAUAAGAAUGUUCAUGCCAUACUAAAUCUUUGAUGAUGGGAGUAAAAAUGCAGUUGGGUAAAAAAUGUAUAAUGUGAAAUGAACCUUGCACAUCUCCCUAUACAGUUUCGUCUAAUCCUUCGUGAAGUUUAUGUCAAUUUUGUAACGUGGUCCUCAUUUUUGACUAAUGUAGUUUCAUAUUUCCAUUGUUGUACAUAUAUACUAUAUGAAUCGUGAAUUAAAUUUAAAUCCAUUCAUUUUUGACAUCUUGAUUAUUCCUGAGUCUAUAUAAUGGAGAAAUCCUCGAUAGAAACUCAGGUGGAUGCGAUUUAAAUAAGAUAUAUGUACAUUACCAAUGUCUUAUUUACAUGUCAAAAUACAUGUGAACUGGUGAUUGGAAUUUUUAAAUUUUCGGUUCCAAUUGGUGGACCGCAUACAAACUAUUAAGACAUCUUGAUUAUUCCUGAGUCUACAUAUAAAUGGAGAAAUCCUCGAUAAAAACUCAGGUUGAUGCGAUUUGAAUAAGAUUGUUAAUGCCAUAAUUAUUAUUACAAAAAUCUUUGAUCCACAAAGUCAAAAUGCAUCUGUAGAAAUAAUGUAAAAUGCGAAAUGAACCUUGCACAUUUCCCUUUACAGUUUUGUCUAAUCCGUGGUGAUGUUUACAUCAAUUUUGCAAUGUGGUCUUCAUUUUUUAUAUGACAUUUUUCAACUCCUCCAUAUUGUUUUCACAUAGAGCACUAACUUUAGUUAGUUCUUCCUUAAUAAUGUGUAUUUGAUCCUGCUGAAGAGCCACAAUGAUUAUUAAUACCACAAUUAAAAAUUCUUUCAGAAACUUAGGUAUAUUUUCCCCAUCUUGAUAGGAUACUAGAGAAAAAACACCAAGUCCAAAAAUAAAUUGAAAUGCCAUUUUAAUCAGGAAUAGGUACAUUUCCAUUGUCUUAUUUACAUGUCAAAAUACAUGUGAACUGGUGAUUGGAAUUUUUUAAUUUCGGUUCCAAUUGGUGGACCACAUACAAACUAUUAAGACAUUAACAAGUUUACAUCAAUUUUGCAACGUGGUCUUCAUUUUUGAUAUAACAUUUUUCAACUCCUCCGUAUUGUUUUCACAUAGAGCACUAACUUUAGCUAGUUCAUCCUUAAUAAUGUGUAUUUGAUCCUGUUGUUGAGCCACAAUGAUUAUUAAUACCACAAUUAAUAACCCUCUCAGAAAUCUAGGUAUAUUAUCUGCAUUCUGAUAGAAUACUAGAGAAAAAAGACCAAGUACAAAAAUAAUUUCAAAUGCCUUUUUAAUCUCGUAUAUGUACAUUACCAAUGUCUUAUUUACAUGUCAAAAUACAUGUGAACUCGGAAUU